rnacentral:lncRNA from 1 species
AGUAACAGCACACAGGCCAACAGCAGCUAUCAUUCCCGCGGCAGCUGCGAGCGCGACGCGCAUAACGACCUGGAGGAAGGCCAUCUCAAUCCGCUGCAUGUAGGUAGGUAGGUGCGUAGGUAGGCAGGUAGUAGGUAGGUAGAUAGGUAGGUAGGUAGGUAGGUGGGUGAGAGGAAGGCAGAAUGCUCUGUUAUCGUGAAUUAAGCUAAUUAAGCUGUUAGCAGUGCGUUUAAGGAAUUUUCGAGGCCCCGGGCGUGAAGCGCCAUUCGGGGGGCCGAGCCCCCCGGGUUCACUGCUGUCAGUCAGUCAGUCAGUCAGUGGCUUACAUAUCUCGCCCCGCAAAAAAAAGCGUUUGAAUGCUAUAUCCAUUCUAUAUCGAAAUGCCAAAGGAGAGGUUCUAGAUAAAUCGGAGCGCGAAGAUAGCUUUCCUGUAAGUGGCUGCACCGGGGCCGAGCCCCUUUUCGGCUUUGGAAAGCCGCCCCCCUAGUUAAUGAUAAUAAUAAUAAAUAAUAAUAGUAAGUGUGUUAAUGAUAAUAUUAAUAAAUAAUAGUAAUAAGUGUGUUAAGGGGCAGGGUUGACGAGACUAUUAUUUUCCCGCUUCCCCUGCUGGCCAUUGCACCUCCCACCCGCAACCAUGUGCAACCAUGUGCAUAAGGGCUUGCUUUGGGCCUUUUUUGCGAUGUUCAUGUGGGUUUAUGUAUGUGGCAUACCUGCUGCCUUUCUUUCUGCAGCUCCAACAAGUUGUUUGUUAACUUGCGUUGCUUAUCACGUGUCCAAAGCGAUCAGAUAGGCGGCUGCAGUGGUGUUGAAUAGGUUGGCUCAGCAGGCAUACAUGACAGCACAAGCAAGGUAACGCAAUAAGCUACGAAGCUAACAAGAUUAUUAGCGUAGCAUGUAUCUUUGGCUGGUUGAACUUUGCCUUGCCAAGGUGCCUAAAUAGCUGAAUAUAUAGUCACUGAGAAGCAGUGCCUCGUUGAAGGCACAAUGCGCGUGCCUUAUCUCCGUGAUUCCCUAAACUUUCUGUUGUCUACG